rnacentral:rRNA from 1 species
AUUCCAGCUCCAAUAGCGUUUAUUUAAGUCGUUGCAGUUAAAAAGCUCGUAGUUGGAUUUCGGGUGGGUACCGCCGGUCUCCCACUGGGUAUGUACUGGCGUGGCCCGCCUUGCUGUCGGGGACGAUCUCCUGGGCUUUACUGUCCGGGAAUCGGAGUCGACGAUGUUACUUUGAGUAAAUUAGAGUGUUCAAAGCAAGCCUACGCUCUGAAUAUAAUAGCAUGGGAUAACACGACAGGACUCUGGCCUAUCGUGUUGGUCUGUAGGACCGGAGUAAUGAUUAAGAGGGACAGUCGGGGGCAUUCGUACCCCAUUGUCAGAGGUGAAAUUCUUGGAUUUAUGGAAGACGAACAUCUGCGAAAGCAUUUGUCAAGGAUGUUUUCAUCA